AACGCACGAGACCUGCGGACCUGCGGAGGGAUCAUUAGUGAUUGCCCUUAGCGGCUUAAACUAUAUCCACAUACACCUGUGAACUGUUCUUUAGCUCGAAAGAGUUAAUUUUACAAACAUUGUGUAAUGAACGUCGUUUUAUUAUAACAAAUAAAACUUUUAACAAUGGAUCUCU
rnacentral:misc_RNA from 1 species